AUUGAACGCUGGCGGCAGGCCUAACACAUGCAAGUCGAUCGGAUCGGCGGCCGGCUGAGUAAUGCCUAGGAGUCUGCCUGGUCGUGGGGUAUCACGUCCGGACACGGGCGCUAAUACCGCAUACUAUCCGCUCAACCUAGGUCGGAUUAACUAGUUGGUGGGUUAAAGGCCUACAAAGGCGACGAUCCGUAACUGGUCUGAGAGGAUGAUCGGACACACUGGAACUGAGACACGGUCCAGACUCCUACGGGAGGCAGCAGUGGGGAAUAUUGGACAAUGGGCGAAAGCCUGAUCCAGCCAUGCCGCGAGGGUGAGGAAGGUCUUCGGAUUGUAAAGCACUUUAAGUGGGGAGGCGUUACAAACAGAAGAAGCACCGGCUAACUACGUGCCAGCAGCCGCGGUAAGUC
rnacentral:rRNA from 1 species